rnacentral:rRNA from 1 species
GUUAGGAAUCUUCCACAAUGGGGGCAACCCUGAUGGAGCAACACCGCGUGCUGGAUGAAGGCCUUCGGGUCGUAAACAGCUUUUGUAUACGAAGAAUAUGACGGUAAUAUACGAAUAAGGGUCGGCUAACUACGUGCCAGCAGCCGCGGUCAUACGUAGGACCCAAGCGUUAUCCGGAGUGACUGGUCGUAAAGAGUUGCGUAGGCGGCUUAUUAAGCGAGUAGUGAAAUCUGGUGGCUCAACCAUCAACACAGUGCUCGAACUGAUAGGCUUGAGAAUGGUAGAGGUAGUUGGAAUUUCUUGUGUAGGAGUGAAAUCCGUAGAUAUAAGAAGGAACACCAAUGGCGUAGGCAGACUACUGGACCAUUUCUGACGCUGAGGCACGAAAGCGUGGGGAGCGAACCGGAUUAGAUACCCUAGUAGUCC